AACCAUAACGAAUAUCCAGAUAUUCACAAUUAAUUUAUUAAAUACAGUAAGGUACAUUAUACACAGCACUUUUUGUUACGUAGUUUUUACGCGGUUUUAUAAUAUAAUUAACAUUUAAACGCGUUUGUAAUUUAAUAUAGGUACACAUAAUUUUUUCAUGUCGACUUAUUGAAAUUUAUUUUUUAAUCUCACCUUUUUUUUGUACUCGCGUAUGCAAAUAGUUAAACUAUAGAAAUACAAUUUUUUUUUUUUUUAUUAA